AAAGUCGUAACAAGGUUUCCGUAGGUGAACCUGCGGAAGGAUCAUUAUCGUGGGGCUUCGGCCCUCUCGAGAUAGAACCCUUGCCUUUUUGAGUACCUUCGUUUCCUCGGCAGGCUCGCCUGCCAAUGGGGACCCCAAUAAACCCUUUGUAACGCCUGUAAUCGUCUGACAAAACAAACAAAAAAUUAAAACUUUCAACAACGGAUCUCUUGGUUCUG
rnacentral:misc_RNA from 1 species